rnacentral:tRNA from 1 species
UUUGAUGUGGCAGAAUUUAUGCGUGAAAUUUAAAAUUUUAUUAUGAGAUUAUUUUUCUUUCAAAU